rnacentral:lncRNA from 1 species
CCCUUCUGCUGCGGCAUCGUAAAGCUUCUUCUCCUCUGAUUUCAUAGGCGUUUCUUCCAUCUCUUUUGAUGUUUUUUUUUUUUCACACACAACACACACUAUAUACACAGGUUUGCUUAAUUAGCAAUUAAGUAUUGUGGAAUAUAUUUAAUGAAGUCUUCUCCAGAAAGGUUUUAUCUAGAGAAUUUGGUAAGUAUUUUUUUUCGUGCAUUGCG